rnacentral:lncRNA from 1 species
AUUUUUUUUUUGCCAAGAUCAAUUAUUUUAAGCCCAACAUGUUUUUAGAACGUAUCACUUACCAUGUAAAUUUAUAUUAUUUGUAUCUUUAGUGGUUGGGAGCUUCUGUGUUUGAAUACACAGUUGUACUGUUUGGAUAUGAUGCAUGGUGUCGCGGUGAGAGAAAAACCCCUGGCAGCAGGUAGAAGAAAGAUACAUACAUUAUGGAAGUAUAAUAGUUGCUUUCAGAAGAAUUGAUCAAUUACAUUUAUCCAGUUCAUGCAUUUCAGAAUUGAAGGGAGAUACAACAUUAAGUGACACUGCUAAAAAACAAAACAAAGCAAAACAAAACAACAACAACCCUCCAAUUAAAUUUAAGUACAUCCUGCCUACAGAGAGGAUAUAUGUCCGGUGUUCUCUCACCCCUGUGAUUGCCCUAGAAUGCUACCCCCUGACCUGUGUGUGGAAACAUUUCCUCAUCUUUUAAGCUUCAGCUAAAUCCUGAAUUCUGCUAUAAAGCCAGGAAGAACUGAUAACUUUCUCCAUCCUUAUAAUCUGCACAUUCUUCAGUUGUAGUUCAGAAUACAUUGAUAUCUGUCUCCUCAUCUGGGCUGUGAACUACAUAAAUACAGGAAUAAUGUUUAUUAAUCUUUGUGUCCCCAUGUCAGACACCUAACAGAAACUAAGUAAACAUACGUUGAAUACAUUAAUACAAAAGUCUUGAAAUAGUGUAUUUCUGUCCUUUUAAGUACCAGUAGUACUAUCUGUAUUUGCCUCUGGUUAAUUUAAAAGAGAUUCUCUAAAAGACUUUCCAGAUGCAAUGAGGAGGCCCUCUUCAAUUGUGAUUAGUUUAACAGUGUCCUAACUAACUCAGUUACUCAAGCCAGGCCACAUCAUUUAUUUAGUGCGUACUAAUGUAGAAUCGUCCUAGACAUGGUAUGAAUAAAAUUAUCAAUUUCUUUAUUUUUUAAAGUUUA